UUGCCCUAGUAACGGCGAGUGAAGCGGCAAGAGCUCAGAUUUGAAAUCUGGCGCCUUUGGCGUCCGAGUUGUAAUCUGUAGAGGAUGCUAUUGGGUAGCCACCGGUCUAAGUCCCCUGGAACGGGGCGUCGCAGAGGGUGAGAAUCCCGUAUGUGACCGGAAGGGCGCCCUCCACAUAGCUCCUUCGACGAGUCGAGUUGUUUGGGAAUGCAGCUCUAAAUGGGAGGUAAAUUCCUUCUAAAGCUAAAUACCGGCCAGAGACCGAUAGCGCACAAGUAGAGUGAUCGAAAGAUGAAAAGCACUUUGGAAAGAGAGUUAAAAAGCACGUGAAAUUGUUGAAAGGGAAGCGCUUGCAACCAGACUUGUUGGCGGUGUUCCGCCGGUCUUCUGACCGGUGUACUCACCGUCUGCAGGCCAGCAUCAUCUGGGGCCGCCGGAUAAAAGCUUGGGGAAUGUGGCUCCUCCGGGAGUGUUAUAGCCCCUCGUGCAAUACGGCGUGCCUCGGGUGAGGUCCGCGCUUCGGCUAGGAUGCUGGCGUAAUGGUCGUAAGCGGCCCGUCUUGAAACACGGACCAAGGAGUCUAACAUCUAUGCGAGUGUUCGGGUGCCAAACCCCUACGCGUAAUGAAAGUGAACGGAGGUGGGAGCCUUAGGGUGCACCAUCGACCGAUCCUGAUGUCUUCGGAUGGAUUUGAGUAAGAGCAUAGCUGUUGGGACCCGAAAGAUGGUGAACUAUGCCUGGAUAGGGUGAAGCCAGAGGAAACUCUGGUGGAGGCUCGCAGCGGUUCUGACGUGCAAAUCGAUCGUCAAAUUUGGGUAUAGGGGCGAAAGACUAAU
rnacentral:rRNA from 1 species